AACGAACGCUGGCGGCAGGCCUAACACAUGCAAGUCGAACGAACCGUUUACGGUGAGUGGCGCACGGGUGCGUAACACGUGGGAACAUACCCUUUGGUACGGAAUAACGUUUGGAAACGAACGCUAAUACCGUAUAAUGACUUCGGUCCAAAGAUUUAUCGCCAAAGGAUUGGCCCGCGCUUGAUUAGCUAGUUGGUGAGGUAAUGGCUCACCAAGGCGAUGAUCAAUAGCUGGUCUGAGAGGAUGAUCAGCCACACUGGGACUGAGACACGGCCCAGACUCCUACGGGAGGCAGCAGUGAGGAAUAUUGGACAAUGGAGGAAACUCUGAUCCAGCCAUGCCGCGUGAGUGAAGAAGGCCUUAGGGUUGUAAAGCUCUUUCAAUAGUGAAGAUAAUGACGGUAGCUAUAGAAGAAGCCCCGGCUAAAUUCG
rnacentral:rRNA from 1 species